rnacentral:tRNA from 1 species
AAAGGGUUGGUUAACUUAUAACGUAAACUUGUCGAGUUUAAGUCGCCUAGCAUGGGUGCUCUUUU